CGCUGGGAGGUCUAAUCGUCGUCGUUGACGCAACGGGGAAUAGUGGAAUAGGUCGAGGUGUCUGUGGCUUCGUUGGACGAAUCGUUGGUCUCGGAGAAUGUAUGCCAGACACGAUUCCAGCCGCGGGAAUUACGCCAGAUGUGGUACACCACGUGAUAGUAUUUGGCGGUGGUUACCUCGCGACGUCGGGUUUUUCGGACAACGGACAGCACACGCCAGAUCCUGACACUUUCCAGGAGAACCCUCGGCCGUGGUGCAACCAGAUGACACCGACGAGGGUUCCUUCUCUCGAUCAACGAUGACUUCCGUUUGGGAUGCAGACGGAGAUGGCGAGGAACGAUCUGGCGAAGGUGUGGCGACUGGCGUCGUUCUCAGGGGCAGAGUUACACCGCGCACCAACGGCGCUAUACUGUCUGUUACAUUGCGUCCUGGAAAUACCAAAAUGGUAAUUCCUUCGGAGGAUAGUUCGAGUUCUCCACGCCUCUGGUCAUGUUGACGAUGUAGCUGCCCACCGUGUUCAAAGCGCCUAAAGUCUCGCUGAUCGCGACCAACGGGUCUGGCUCCACUCUUUGCUCCACUUUCGCUAGCUUCGCGCUAAAGCACCACGCUUGGCCCUGAAGAGGAAAACAAAACGUCGGAGCGGGAGGAAAGGCGAGACGAGGAGGGACGUAUAAAGUUUGGAAUAACGUGGCCCGGCUUCGAAGGAGGCCUUUUCGGAACGAGUUAACGUACACGGACUUCAUCGACGGUGAAAGUUGCUCGACGAGAAAGCGCGCCUUUCUUCCGUUCACUGAUUCAUCGUCGAUACUCGCUCGACCGUUCCGCGGACGAGAAAAGAGCUAAAGAUUGUUUGUCUUUCGGUGGCUCGACGAACAAGAGGUGCAUCCUGAUUCAGAAGGAGAUAGACGCGAUUGUACGCUGGGGAAAUCCGAUCGUAAACACGCGCGAACGAAUUUCUUCGUCAAACAUCGCGCGUCAAGGUGGAUCUUUGCUUUUCUACGAAUU